rnacentral:tRNA from 1 species
UCCCUGGUGGCUCAGAUGGUAAAGUGUCUGCCUACAAUGCAGGAGACCCAGGUUCAAUCCCUUGGUCAGGGAA